rnacentral:lncRNA from 10 species
AGAAGCGUUAGUCUGUGGUGUGGGGAAGGUGUCCAAAGUCACCCUUCGGUGUAUCCACGCCGUUACCCGCCGGGUGUGACCUCUGCGGCGGGGACCGCGAGAAGCCCGCCGGUUAACACAAAAGCGGAGGGCAGCCCUCGGCUGGCACCGUGCGCCCGAGCCCGCAGCCCCGGACACUCCACAUGGACGCACACGCAGGACAGCUCCGGGCUCCGAAACUAGGUUUGGAAUCUCCAAGUUGGAUAGAAAUGCUGUCAGCUGUUCACGGAAGUCUGAUCCUGAUAUUCUAAACCCGAAAAGUGAUAAGAAUCUUGACAGAGAACUAAGUCCACUCCCACUUGAAUGAAACUCUUACCCAGGGAAAACGAAAACUACUCCUGCCUGCCUCCCUCCCCUCAGCCCCCAGGAGAACCGUGAAAUGCCUGCUGAAUUGAGAGACUGGAAAAGAACAGAGCAAGGCAGAGCCCCUGAGGUCUUUGCCACAGGAGAGUGAUCAACAUCUGAGUCCUUUGCAUCCUUAUUUUACCCUGACUUCAGUUAAUGCCACCAAUGUCCAGUGUGCACACUCUCAGCACACACACAGGCAGUGCCAUGAAGUGGAGGGGACAGAAAAGCUUUCCACACCAAAACUCUUCUCCAUGCAAACAAAAGAAUGGCUGUCUCGCCUUAGAAGGAAGCCCUGGCUAGGGUGAUUUCAGGGGUUAAUCCUCAAUGAAAGAGGGUUAAGCAGAGACUUGAAGAUUGCUGAGGUUUUAUGAUGGUGAAUUGCCUGGGGAAUCCACAUUCAGAUCAGCCUUGGUAUGUUUUGCUGAGUGAGAUAAGAGUUGGAGACUUCAUGCUGGGACAUGUGCAAAAGGAAGGGAAAAAAUUAAAAGGGGAGGGGAAGGAACUAGGCAACUAAAAACAGCCCACUCGUGGCAACCAAAUCUAAACAGAAAAACAUUGCAGGGAGCCAAACGCAAAAGAAAAAACAAAAAAGUUUGAGAUAUUUAAAGGUUCUAGCAGUUUCUUAGUUCAGUGCACAGUCCCUUCCCACAUUCCUCUGCCCCAUUACUCUGUUCUCUAAACCCUAAGACUGUAUUCGUGCCCAGAAUGCUAGAAACACAAGAUAAGAUCUGCCAGAGAAGCGGCAGAGUACUAGCAGCUCUGUCUGCCUGGCUCAACCUACUUCUUCGCUUUGGAACGGGAGUGGAGUCCAUUUUCUUAUACUUUAUUCUGUUUCCGAAGCUCACUCUUUCUACAAAGUCAGUUUGAAUGUGGGGAUUGCUAGUUUAAUAGUGUCCAAAAUUGGCAUUGUCAGGAAACAGGGGCAGCAUCACACAGUAGGCACCAAAGUGUGGAAGGCACUUGGAUUCUGGAUUCAGCACUUAGAUGCUGUGUCACCUUAAGUAAGUUAUUUCCUCAAAUGAAAAAUGGCACUAACAAUAGCACCUAAUGCAUAAGAUUGUUGUGACAUUUCUCUGAGGAUGUGGCACCCAGUCAGCCCUCAGUAGUGGUAUCAUUAAUUAAUUAUGAAUCAAGAGAAGCUUUCUGAGGUACCCUUGAAUCUCUCCAGGAACUCAUUCAGUAUCACUUGUCAGUGGAAAAUAGUGGAUGAAGUCAAGCGAUCUCCAGGAAUGACAAUCAAGAGGGGGCGGGAGUGAGAGCCCAGGCAGACACUGAUGAAAGCCAUCCUCGUUCCCCAUCACAGCAACUCCACCACACACCUGGGGCUCUCCUCAAUGCUGGAUGGCCCUGCCAAGUAUCCUGGGCUAGGAGCAGGGGAUUUGGGUUUGGGGUCUGGUUCUGUCUUUGGUAUUCUUGAGCAAGGCACUCCCCGUUUCUAAGGCUCCCAACUUUUCUGAAGUGAGGAGCCUUGGGCUGAGCUCUGACGGUCCUGAAUGGGGACCCUCUGCCAAAGCCACCCUAUGAGCUUCUGGCAACUUUCCCUAAGAGAGAUGGGGAGAGAGAAGACAUCAUAGGUAAGGCACUGAAUAGAACAAGGACAGACCCAUUUCUGCAACCUUUCUUCCCCUCCAAAAACUAGAGUUAAGAAAUGUUGUCCAACUUAAACACAGCCUGUCCUUCUCCCACCUCCAAUACUUCCAAGAAUUUUCACCCCCAUGGACUAGGUGCCUUGUGAGAGAGGGAUGUGGCAGAACACCCCAGGCAUGGAUUACAUCUCUGGUGACUUCUUGUGUGUAGCCCAUCAUCAACAACCAUAGACAUCUACCUUGGUCUACAGGGCCAAAACCCAGGUAGCAGAUAUUCCCAUUUGAGAGAUUGAAUCCAGAGACCCCAGAAUCCAAGAUGAAGUCCUGGAAGUCAGUAGAUUAGCAGGACUCAGGAGACCGGGGAUUCAUCCACAGGUUUACCUCCAGUCAACUGACUCUUUGCACAGUUCCAGGCACAUGCCAGACCCACAGUGAAUACGCAUUCAGUGGAUGAAAAUACGGAAUGGAGAGAACAUGCACAGUGUUUGGAGAACAGUGAGGCAAUUGCUGAGCAGGAGUAUUUGUGGAAGGGAGGAGACGUUAGGGAAGCAAGUCUGGGAAGAACAGACUGUGAUAGCCUUUGAAGAUGUAAUAAUCAGUUUGGACUCUGUCCCCAGGGACAAAGGGAGGGGGUCUGUCAGUGGCAGAUGGACACAAACAGAUGUUUUUCAGGAAGACUGCUGGUAGAGGGCUGAGGGUGGGCUGGAUGGGAGAGGAAGAUGCCCAUGGAGGGCCAUCAGGAGGCUGCAACACUGGUCAGGUGAGGCCAUCGGAG